GGGGGCAUAGCUCAGUGGUAGAGCAAUCGACUGCAGAUGUCCGUGGUUCAACUCUGCGCGCCCUUU
rnacentral:tRNA from 1 species